CUACGGGGGGCUCCAGUGGGGAAUAUUGGACAAUGGGGGAAACCCUGAUCCAGCAAUGCCGCGUGUGUGAAGAAGGCCUGCGGGUUGUAAAGCACUUUCGGUUGGGAGGACUGCUUCUAGCACUAAUAUUGUUGGAAGUUGACGUUACCUUCAGAAGAAGCACCGGCUAACUCCGUGCCAGCAGCCGCGGUAAUACGGAGGGUGCAAGCGUGAAUCGGAAUUACUGGGCGUAAGGCGCGCGUAGGCGGCUAGAUCAGUCGGGUGUGAAAGCCCCGGGCUUAACCUGGGAACUGCAUCCGAUACUGUCUAGCUUGAGUACAGGAGAGGAGAGUGGAAUUCCACAUGUAGCGGUGAAAUGCGUAGAUAUGUGGAGGAACACCAAUGGCGAAGGCAGCUCUCUGGCCUGAUACUGACGCUGAGGUGCGAAAGCGUGGGGAGCAAACAGGAUUAGAUACCCCAGUAGUC
rnacentral:rRNA from 1 species